GCUCAGUUGGUUGAGGGCCCAACUUUGGCUCAGGUCAUGAUCUCACAGUUCGUGGGUUCAAGCCCCACACUGGGCU
rnacentral:tRNA from 1 species